rnacentral:rRNA from 1 species
UACAGAGACUGCAAGCGUUAUUCGGAUUCACUGGGCGUAAAGGGUGCGCAGGCGGUCGGGUGUGUCAGAUGUGAAAUCCCGAGGCUCAACCUCGGAACUGCGUCUGAAACUACUCGACUAGAGUACUGGAGAGGGUAACGGAAUUCACGGUGUAGCAGUGAAAUGCGUAGAUAUCGUGAGGAACACCUAUGGCGAAAGCAGCUGCCUGGGCCUUUUCUGACGCUAAGACUCGAAGGCUGGGGGAGCAAACAGG